rnacentral:rRNA from 1 species
ACGCUGGCGGCAGGCUUAACACAUGCAAGUCGAACGGUAACAGGGAUUAGCUUGCUAAUCUGCUGACGAGUGGCGGACGGGUGAGUAAUGCUUGGGAAUCUGGUUUAUGGAGGGGGAUAACUACGGGAAACUGUAGCUAAUACCGCGUAAAAUCUUCGGAUUAAAGGGUGGGACUUUCGAGCCACCUGCCAUAAGAUGAGCCCAAGUGGGAUUAGGUAGUUGGUUAGGUAAAGGCUGACCAAGCCGACGAUCUCUAGCUGGUCUGAGAGGAUGACCAGCCACACUGGAACUGAGACACGGUCCAGACUCCUACGGGAGGCAGCAGUGGGGAAUAUUGCACAAUGGUGGGAACCCUGAUGCAGCCAUGCCGCGUGAAUGAAGAAGGCCUUCGGGUUGUAAAGCUCUUUCGGUGACGAGGAAGGUUGGUAGGUUAAUAGCCUAUCAAAUUGACGUUAAUCACAGAAGAAGCACCGGCUAACUCCGUGCCAGCAGCCGCGGUAAUACGGGGGGUGCGAGCGUUAAUCGGAAUAACUGGGCGUAAAGGGCACGCAGGCGGUGACUUAAGUGAGAUGUGAAAGCCCCGAGCUUAACUUGGGAAUUGCAUUUCAUACUGGGUCGCUAGAGUACUUUAGGGAGGGGUAGAAUUCCACGUGUAGCGGUGAAAUGCGUAGAGAUGUGGAGGAAUACCGAAGGCGAAGGCAGCCCCUUGGGAAUGUACUGACGCUCAUGUGCGAAAGCGUGGGGAGCAAACAGGAUUAGAUACCCUGGUAGUCCACGCUGUAAACGAUGUCGAUUUGGGGAUUGGGCUUUGAGCUUGGUGCCCGUAGCUAACGUGAUAAAUCGACCGCCUGGGGAGUACGGCCGCAAGGUUAAAACUCAAAUGAAUUGACGGGGGCCCGCACAAGCGG